CACACACACACACACACACACACACACACACACACACACACCACUUUGUUCUCAUGACUCCGUCUCCUCUCCAGGUUUCCUAGCUGGGACUGUCGAGUUAAACACUCCAACAGGGAUGAGGACCAAUCACAUAGGAAGAGAGAUGGAGCAAGCUCCGCCCCAUUGGCUCAAAGAGCCAAUCGGAUCCAGGUGGCGCAGCCGAACAGGAAACUUGUAACGGUAAAUAAGAAAA